AUUCCCUGAUGAGGGCAUUUCUGUAAUAAUACUUUGUACCGUUCCAUGCCUCAUAGAAGGAGUCAUCAUCCAUUUGCUGGAAAGUAGUGAUCUCAUUCCUCAACUU
rfam:Gossypium hirsutum cultivar TM-1 chromosome 7, whole genome shotgun sequence